rnacentral:rRNA from 1 species
AACCUGAAACCGUGUACGUACAAGCAGUGGGAGCACAGAGCAAUCUGUGUGACUGCGUACCUUUUGUAUAAUGGGUCAGCGACUUAUAUUCUGUAGCAAGGUUAACCGAAUAGGGGAGCCGAAGGGAAACCGAGUCUUAACUGGGCGUUAAGUUGCAGGGUAUAGACCCGAAACCCGGUGAUCUAGCCAUGGGCAGGUUGAAGGUUGGGUAACACUAACUGGAGGACCGAACCGACUAAUGUUGAAAAAUUAGCGGAUGACUUGUGGCUGGGGGUGAAAGGCCAAUCAAACCGGGAGAUAGCUGGUUCUCCCCGAAAGCUAUUUAGGUAGCGCCUCGUGAAUUCAUCUCCGGGGGUAGAGCACUGUUUCGGCAAGGGGGUCAUCCCGACUUACCAACCCGAUGCAAACUGCGAAUACCGGAGAAUGUUAUCACGGGAGACACACGGCGGGUGCUAACGUCCGUCGUGAAGAGGGAAACAACCCAGACCGCCAGCUAAGGUCCCAAAGUCAUGGUUAAGUGGGAAACGAUGUGGGAAGGCCCAGACAGCCAGGAUGUUGGCUUAGAAGCAGCCAUCAUUUAAAGAAAGCGUAAUAGCUCACUGGUCGAGUCGGCCUGCGCGGAAGAUGUAACGGGGCUAAACCAUGCACCGAAGCUGCGGCAGCGACGCUGAUGCGUUGUUGGGUAGGGGAGCGUUCUGUAAGCCUGUGAAGGUGUGCUGUGAGGCAUGCUGGAGGUAUCAGAAGUGCGAAUGCUGACAUAAGUAACGAUAAAGCGGGUGAAAAGCCCGCUCGCCGGAAGACCAAGGGUUCCUGUCCAACGUUAAUCGGGGCAGGGUGAGUCGACCCCUAAGGCGAGGCCGAAAGGCGUAGUCGAUGGGAAACAGGUUAAUAUUCCUGUACUUGGUGUUACUGCGAAGGGGGGACGGAGAAGGCUAUGUUGGCCGGGCGACGGUUGUCCCGGUUUAAGCGUGUAGGCUGGUUUUCCAGGCAAAUCCGGAAAACUAAGGCUGAGGCGUGAUGACGAGGCACUACGGUGCUGAAGCAACAAAUGCCCUGCUUCCAGGAAAAGCCUCUAAGCAUCAGGUAACAUCAAAUCGUACCCCAAACCGACACAGGUGGUCAGGUAGAGAAUACCAAGGCGCUUGAGAGAACUCGGGUGAAGGAACUAGGCAAAAUGGUGCCGUAACUUCGGGAGAAGGCACGCUGAUAUGUAGGUGAAGUCCCUCGCGGAUGGAGCUGAAAUCAGUCGAAGAUACCAGCUGGCUGCAACUGUUUAUUAAAAACACAGCACUGUGCAAACACGAAAGUGGACGUAUACGGUGUGACGCCUGCCCGGUGCCGGAAGGUUAAUUGAUGGGGUCAGCGCAAGCGAAGCUCUUGAUCGAAGCCCCGGUAAACGGCGGCCGUAACUAUAACGGUCCUAAGGUAGCGAAAUUCCUUGUCGGGUAAGUUCCGACCUGCACGAAUGGCGUAAUGAUGGCCAGGCUGUCUCCACCCGAGACUCAGUGAAAUUGAACUCGCUGUGAAGAUGCAGUGUACCCGCGGCAAGACGGAAAGACCCCGUGAACCUUUACUAUAGCUUGACACUGAACAUUGAGCCUUGAUGUGUAGGAUAGGUGGGAGGCUUUGAAGUGUGGACGCCAGUCUGCAUGGAGCCGACCUUGAAAUACCACCCUUUAAUGUUUGAUGUUCUAACGUUGACCCGUAAUCCGGGUUGCGGACAGUGUCUGGUGGGUAGUUUGACUGGGGCGGUCUCCUCCUAAAGAGUAACGGAGGAGCACGAAGGUUGGCUAAUCCUGGUCGGACAUCAGGAGGUUAGUGCAAUGGCAUAAGCCAGCUUGACUGCGAGCGUGACGGCGCGAGCAGGUGCGAAAGCAGGUCAUAGUGAUCCGGUGGUUCUGAAUGGAAGGGCCAUCGCUCAACGGAUAAAAGGUACUCCGGGGAUAACAGGCUGAUACCGCCCAAGAGUUCAUAUCGACGGCGGUGUUUGGCACCUCGAUGUCGGCUCAUCACAUCCUGGGGCUGAAGUAGGUCCCAAGGGUAUGGCUGUUCGCCAUUUAAAGUGGUACGCGAGCUGGGUUUAGAACGUCGUGAGACAGUUCGGUCCCUAUCUGCCGUGGGCGCUGGAGAACUGAGGGGGGCUGCUCCUAGUACGAGAGGACCGGAGUGGACGCAUCACUGGUGUUCGGGUUGUCAUGCCAAUGGCACUGCCCGGUAGCUAAAUGCGGAAGAGAUAAGUGCUGAAAGCAUCUAAGCACGAAACUUGCCCCGAGAUGAGUUCUCCCUGACUCCUUGAGAGUCCUGAAGGAACGUUGAAG